rnacentral:rRNA from 1 species
GACGAACGCUGGCGGCGUGCUUAACACAUGCAAGUCGAACGGAAAGGCCCUGCUUUUGUGGGGUGCUCGAGUGGCGAACGGGUGAGUAACACGUGAGUAACCUGCCCUUGACUUUGGGAUAACUUCAGGAAACUGGGGCUAAUACCGGAUAGGAGCUCCUGCUGCAUGGUGGGGGUUGGAAAGUUUCGGCGGUUGGGGAUGGACUCGCGGCUUAUCAGCUUGUUGGUGGGGUAGUGGCUUACCAAGGCUUUGACGGGUAGCCGGCCUGAGAGGGUGACCGGCCACAUUGGGACCGAGAUACGGCCCAGACUCCUACGGGAGGCAGCAGUGGGGAAUAAUGCACAAUGGGCGGAAGCCUGAUGCAGCAACGCCGCGUGCGGGAUGACGGCCUUCGGGUUGUAAACCGCUUUCGCCUGUGACGAAGCGUGAGUGACGGUAAUGGGUAAAGAAGCACCGGCUAACUACGUG